rnacentral:misc_RNA from 1 species
UUAAGUUCAGCGGGUAUCCCUACCUGAUCCGAGGUCAACCUUAAAAAAUUGGGGUUGUUGGUCGUCAACCGCGGAGACCCUCAGCGAGAUGUUUACUACGCUCGGGACCCAACGGCGCCGCCACUGAGUUUAUGAUCCGCCUUUACAGGCGUGACCCAAUACCAAGCAAAGCUUGAGUGGUGAUAAUGACGCUCGAACAG